rnacentral:rRNA from 1 species
UUGGAGGGCAAGUCUGGUGCCAGCAGCCGCGGUAAUUCCAGCUCCAAUAGCGUAUAUUAAAGUUGUUGCAGUUAAAAAGCUCGUAGUUGAAUUUCGGGAUCAGAGUGUCGGUCGUGCCUCGGUACGCACUGGUAUUAUUGGUUCCUACCUUCUGAAGAACCGCGAUGUCAUUAAUUUGGUGUCGCGGGGAAUCAGGACUGUUACUUUGAAAAAAUUAGAGUGUUUAAAGCAGGCUUACGCUUGAAUACAUUAGCAUGGAAUAAUGAAAUAGGACGUUUGAUUCUAUUUUGUUGGUUUCUAGGAUUGACGUAAUGAUUAAUAGGGAUAGUUGGGGGCAUUAGUAUUCAAUUGUCAGAGGUGAAAUUCUUGGAUUUAUUGAAGACUAACUACUGCGAAAGCAUUUGCCAAGGAUGUUUUCAUUAAUCAAGAACGAAAGUUAGGGGAUCGAAGACGAUCAGAUACCGUCGUAGUCUUAACCAUAAACUAUGCCGACUAGGGAUCGGAUGAUGUUAAUUUUUUAAUGACUCAUUCGGCGCCUUACGGGAAAC